CCCUCACGUUGAACGUUUCUCUAUCUUCUUCGUAUCACAGCGAUUUCGGUUUUCUUACACCCACUGCCCAUAAUCAAUGCCCAUUAAAAGCGCUUCUAAUGCCUUUCUCGAGUGAGAGUUCAGCAGCUUAUGAGCCUUUCCUCAUCCCUUUCUGAAUCUCCAUCCGCGUCAUCCUCUCCAAUAGCUGCCCUCGAACCCUUGCCCAGAUCAGAAAUGGGAGCUUUGGUUCAGUCAAAUCUUUCGGUUCGAUGCUUUGAAUCCUUGCUAUUGUCCUUGGUCUCCCAACUUCAAUCUCGGACAAGGAAAGCACUCGAUUUCUAACAACAAAAUGGCAAACAAGAGCCCGCUACGUUUUAUCCAUCUCAAACUUAAACCAUCAUUUCGGCUCGGUAAACUCAUUUGCGGUGGAGGCUGCUUCUUUUGGGGUGGUUUAUUUUUUUUCCUUUAUCACUUUUGAUUGGUAUGGAUUACCAGCUCCAUUGGCACUAUUAAGGGCAGACAAAUAAUCUUCCUCCAUGUUGUCCUGGUAUGAAAGAGUAAUACGCGUUAAAUUGUAAGAUCGACAGUGACAAUCGCUUUUGCUUCGACAUCUCAGCCUGUGGUCUUUUUGUGUUCCUGUGCGGCCAGGUAAAAAUUGAAAUCAGCAGUGAUAUCGCUCUUGCUUCGACAUCUCUUUUUUUUGUGUGUGUUUCUCUACGUGAUUGUAACUUGGACAUUCGUUUAUCAUUCUCAUGUGUUGGCUUUCUUCAUCCUUAUGGAGGUUUUCUUCUUUAAUUUUGCAUGGGGUGUUCAAAUUUAAUUUUUCAAUUGCACUGUGUGUUUUUGUAUGCAUGGCAUUUUUGUGUUGAAGCUCAAAUAGGUUCAAUAUUUUAUCUUAUCAAACAUUACCCUAUCUGUGUUAUAAUAAGCAUUCCUUCUUUGAGUCCUAAAAUGUAGUUGAUGACACUGCCCACUUUUUAUACUACAGUGAAUGUGCAACCUCUUUCUAGGUCGCCAGCUAAUUUCCAUAUCUACGCUGCUUUACUAAGAUAUCAUGAAAGGAUAAUGACACUUGAUCUUCCUUAUGGUAAGAAGUUGUAUGGCAGUAACAAUAUUAUGAAAUUCUAUCCUCAGUGCCGAUCACUUACGUUUACGAUUUACAUUCUAUAGUUUAAAAUAAUGAUUAAAUUUCGUGGUAUGCUUAUUUUAUGUUCAUUUGCUCGCAUCCCUUGGAUAUGAAUUACUCCAAAUGAUUGGCUUCUCUCUGAAUUACAUGUUCAAUACUUUGCUCUAUGGCUUCCUUUAUCCCAUUAAUUUUUCUCAAUGCUUUACUUUUGUUAUGCCCUCUGUUGUUUCCUCUUUGUUCUGUCCAGGUUAUAUUAAACAAGACAAGUCAACUGUUGUGUAGUAGAAUGUGCUUUAGCAAAAACUUCAUAAUGUUUUUAGAGAGAGUUGAACGUGAUACAAUAGAUUUGGCUUGAACACCUGACACAAGCUUCAUCUUUGAGCUGACCCAAGAUGUGGUUAUUUUUGUUGUUGGUGGGACUAACAUUUGAAAAGACAUGUUCUUUUGAUUUGCAGAAUGCCAACAAUUCUGGAAUUCGUUUCAUACUUGGCGGAUCUGUCAAUUCUAAACGGUCAUGCGAAGGGAGAUAGGCGAUAAUACACGACCCACGUGGCUCAAUUGAUUCGUCAUCUCUAUCUAAAUCCAAUGGAUUCCAUCCCUCUCUAGCUCACUGGUCGCGCACUUCCAUUUAUAGGUACAUAAUUUAUUAUUGUUCCUCUUUUUCUUCAAAAAUGGUUAAGUUUAUAUGAUUCAUAUUAGUCUCUGCUUUAUGGUAGUUUAUAGGGUUACCCUUGUAUGGAGGGAAGUUUUAUGUGAUGUAUGCAGUUCAUUGGGAUUUAACGGGGAUGUUGGAGGAUAUUGGGUUGCCGGCAAAGCCAUCUAUGAGAGGCAGUAAUUUGGUGAUCGACGCCUCUCAUUGUCUGGGUUGUUCCUCUCAGUUCACUUUCAUCAGUCGCAAGGUUACUUCUCACUUUUUGAUCCCUAAUAAUCAUUGAUUCUUUGACCCUGUUCUUCAAUGCCCAUCUCUCGAAGUGCUUUUCCCCUGAGUCCACCGUCUUAUAUAUACAGUGAAAACCUAUAGUUUGGGGAAAUUGUAUUGUUGGGGAUUUAUUUUAGAAAUUCAGUGAUUUAUAGGUUUUGCAUUAAAUGGAGGACAUAAUUUUAUGAUA